UGGCGGAGAAUCACUGAGAGCUGC
rnacentral:piRNA from 1 species